CCAACAACAAGUUCUUUUCCCAAAAUAACACCACCUUCUCAAUACAUUAAUUUACCAACAUUAAAAUGGCCUCACAUUGGUGUUUUAACAUCUGAUUAGUUUUGUAGAUAUGGGGCUAUAAAGCUUUGUUAUUUGUGACAUCCCCAAAAUCUCGGCCAGAAAAGACCGAUUUUCAUUUAUGCUUUUAAAAUAAUUUCAGAGUAAAUCCUUUUGAUUUGAAAGAGUUGCGGAAUUUGUUCCCAAAAACAAAACAUGAUAAAACAAUGUUUACCAAAGCAUUUCAUAAAAGAAAUGUAUUUUCAUUAUAUAAUCAAAACUCGGGGUGUCAUGUUCCGAUACAGACCAAUAAGCAUAAACGAUAACAUUACAAGUCAUCCAACAAAUAUAUACAUAUACAGACUUGUAAACAAAACAACUUGAUGGUUCGUCCAUCUUACUCCCUUGCGCCACUUCCUAUAAUACAAAUAAAACUGAGUGGGUCAGGCUUGGGAGCCUGGUGAGCAUAUAGGGUUUUCAACCCACAAUAAAUAAUUAAAUUAAUUAUUAUCAAUCAACAAUAACCCAAUUACCCAUUCCCGUUAUUCUCACUUUAUGUCCCUAAAAUAACUAACACAAGGGACCUAGUCUAAGAAUAUUUCAUCGGGGUGACAACACAUGCUUCGGGGGUUCCUUAGCAAUAUAAGUCAAAUAAGGCAACCAUGAGGGGGAUGGAAUACAAUGAAUGAACACCCAAUUUCAUUAACACCUACAUGUUAUGAGCCUGCUAGCGUUCCACUGGACUGUCUAGAAAAGUCCGUGGUCGUCAUCUAAAUUCCGCUAGAUGACUGGAUCAAAACAACAUCGAGGCCUCUCAUCUGUUUAUUACACACCAACUAUCUACCCAUGUUCUACCCAACAUAUUAGUAGAUAAAAAUAUAUAUAUUUUUAUACAUAGUUUAAAACCUGCAUAGCAUUCUCAUUCAAUACAUAUUCCAAAACAACAGAUGAGACACAUACACAUAACACAUAUUUAAUAGAGAAUGAAUCAUAUCUAUGAGAUAGAAGAAAGUGAAUAUACUUUCACGCAUAUAACAACAAAAUAUACACAUAACACGUAUUUUGUAUUAAAUACUUGAUAAUUAUGCGUUAGAAGAAAGUAACCACACACUCACACAUAUAAACAACAAUAUACUUAGUACACUCAAAUCAUACUUGUAUUAUUAUUGUGUUUAUGAAAGGUAGUGUACACUCACUUGAUCAGAAGAUGACCGGACAACACUAAGACUUGCAAUAGUAGUAAUCCUCAGCAGAUCUGGAAGAUCUUUACAAAAAUCGAACUUCUCGUGGGCAGAGCUUCGGCUCAGAAACCGCACUUCUCGGUAUCUUCGGGAUCUCGGGACUUGCUUCGGGACUCAGGAAUAUUACCGGGGCUUCGGGGUGGCUUCGGGGGUAAAAACGUAGAGCUUCGGCACAAAAUGGAGGAGAAAUGAGCAAUUAUGCCCGGACCCCUCGCAUCCUAUUUAUAGGAGGCUGGGAGCCUCAUUUACGUGGGGCGUACAGCAGUACGCGGGGCGUACUGGCGUCCGAAAUCGUCACUGCAUGCGUCAUCUGAAGUGUCGACACUCUUCGCUGUACGUGGGGCGUACUAGAGUACGCGGGGCAUACUCCGGAUGAGCCCGGUGACUCGCCUUCAGAUAAGGCCGGAUUUAAUAAUUAAAUUUAAUUAUUAAUUAUUUAAUAACUUCGGAAAUUCAUAUCUUCUUCAUACGAACUCCGUUUUCGACGUUCUUUAUAUCCACGCGAAGGUGAGACUACGCUCUACGACUUUCGUUUAGACUCCGUCGGCAAAUUUUGACUUUAUUUUUAGUAUUUAUUUUUAAUAGGCCGGGACAGAAAAUUUCGUUAUAAAUUCAUACCUUCUUCGUUUGACGUCCGUUCUCGCCUAACUUUUUAUCGCUUUGAUACUAACAACGAGAUCUUCGAUUCUCAUUUAGAUCACUAAGGCUAACUAUCGCUCUAACGUAAAUUUCACUUUUUUCGUCAUUCAGCGUUGCCGGUUCUGUCGUGAAACUUGGACAGGUCAUAACUUCCUCGUUAUAACUCGGACUUCGGCAUUCUUUAUAUUUUCGGAAACCUUGUUUCAACUACUACAACAUUAUGUAAAGAUAUAAAGUUUAUUUUACACUUAAAUUUUGAUGCUUAUUUUUAUUCUUAAUUAACCAAACCACAUAAUUAAGCAAUUAAGCAGAAAACACAUAAUAAAUAAUACACUUCUAUUAUUUCAAAACGGGUUACAAAGGUUAACCUAGACUAUUACAUUGCUAAAAAUGGCAAGUCCAGAAACACAGGCGUUACAAUUGUCCCCACCUUAGGAUGAUUCUGUCCCCAGAAUCACACCUCAACAAACAAAUGCGGAUAGCGACCCAUCAUGUCACUCUCCGUCUCCCAGGUGAGAUUCGGCCCAUUCGUGUGUUUCCAUCGGACAAGCACUAACUCGACCAUCUUACGUCGCAACUUCUUAGUCUUUCGGUCAACAAUUGCCUCUGGUUCUUCAAUCAACCUUUUGUUCUCAUCAAUUCUCAAUUCAGAAAUUGGAAUUAUAUCGGGAACUUCUCCCGUGAACUUCCUCAAAUAACACACAUGAAAAGUGUUGUGAAUUCCAUUCAGUUCUUCGGGUAAUUCGAGCUUGUAAGCUUGGUUCCCAAUCCUCUGAAGAACUUUAAACGGUCCAAUAAACCUUGGACUCAACUUUCCCCUUUUACCAAAUCUUAUAAGUCCCUUCCACGGCGAGACUUUAAGCAAAACCGAAUCUCCAACUUCAAAAGUCAUCGGUCUUCGCUUCUUGUCAGCAUAGCUCUUUUGACGAUCCUGAGCUGCUAACAUUCUUUCCCUAAUUAUUUUCAACUUUUCAGCAGUUUGAUGAACCAACUCCGGUCCCAUAAACUGCUUUUCCCCAGCCUCAAGCCAACAAGACGGCGUACGACACUUCUGUCCAUACAAAGCUUGGUAAGGUGCCAUCUUAAUGCUCGAGUGGAAACUAUUAUUAUAGGAAAAUUCUACCAACGGUAAAUGUUCAUCCCAAUUACCUAGGAAUUCCAGAGUACAUGCUCUCAGCAUAUCUUCAAGUGUUUGUAUCGUUCGUUCGCUCUGACCAUCAGUCUGCGGAUGGUAAGCUGUACUUAAACACAACUUGGUACCCAAUUCCUCUUGUAGACUUUUCCAAAACCUCGAUGUGAAACGGCUAUCACGAUCCGACACAAUCGUUAACGGAACACCGUGAAGCCUCACAAUUUCCUUCACGUAAGAAUUCGCAAGCUUUUCCAUAGACCAUUUCUCCCUGGCCGCUAUGAAAUGCGCACUCUUAGUGAAUCGAUCAACGACCACCCAAAUCAUGUCGUGACCAUUCUUUGUUCUGGGCAGUUUAGUGACAAAAUCCAUAGCAAUGUCUUCCCACUUACCCAUAGGCACAGGUAAAGGUUCUAAACUCCCAUACGGUUUCUGAUGUUGUGUCUUGACUCUUGCACAAGUCACACACUCUGCCACAUACUUCGCAAUGUCAAGCUUCAUUGUCGGCCACCAGUAGUGGGGUUUCAGGUCCCUAUACAUUUUAGUGCUACCGGGAUGAAUCGAGUACAUGGUUUUGUGAGCUUCUUCCAUCAGAAGAUCUCUGACUCCUCCUGUCUUAGGUAUCCAAAUCCGAUCUUGGAACACCUUCAGUCCGUGACCGUUUACACCAAACACCAACGUUUUGCCCAAACGGUCCUCCUUUCGGUCAUUUUUCUCAGAAGCUUCCUCUUGAGCUUUCUUUAUACUUUCCACAAUGGUCGAGACAACUUCAAUUUUCAACGCUCUUGGCCUUUUCCUCUCAAGAUUGACUUUCCGACUGAGAGCAUCAGCAACAACAUUAGCUUUACCGGGGUGGUAAAGUAUCUCGCAGUCGUAGUCUUUAAGUAAUUCUAGCCAGCGUCGUUGCCUCAUAUUCAAUUCUUUCUGAUUAAAGAGAUAUUGGAGACUCUUAUGAUCAGUGAAAAGUUUGCACUUCGUGCCAUAGAGGUAAUGCCUCCAUAUUUUCAGAGCGAAAACUACCGCUGCCAACUCCAAAUCAUGAGUCGGGUAAUUCUUUUCAUGCUCUUUCAGCUGUCGAGACGCAUAUGCUAUCACCUUUUCUCUUUGGGUCAAAACACAACCCAAUCCAACACCAGACGCAUCGCUAUAAACAGCGAAGUCUUCGACUCCAUCGGGUAGAGAAAGUAUCGGUGCCUCGCAUAGUUUCUUCUUUAGCCUCUCGAAUGCUUCUUUAUGCUUCUCACUCCAAGCAUAAGUAGCUCCUUUGUGGGUCAAAGCUGUCAAUGGAGUAGCAAUCGAAGAAAAGCCUUGGAUAAACCUUCGGUAAUAUCCGGCUAAUCCUAAAAAGUUUCGGAUCUCCGUGGGACUUUUUGGUUGUUCCCACUUCAUUACAGCUUCAACCUUUGCUGGAUCAACCAUUAUCCCUUCUUGGUUGACCAUGUGACCCAAGAAUUGGACUUCACGAAUCCAAAAAUCACAUUUGGAGAACUUAGCAUACAGCUUCUCCUUCUUCAAGACUUUUAACACUUCUCGCAAGUGUCUGCCAUGCUCCUCCUGGCUUUUUGAGUAAAUUAGAAUGUCAUCUAUGAACACUAUCACAGAUUUAUCAAGGAACGGAUUACAAACCCUGUUCAUUAAAUCCAUGAAUGCUGUCGGAGCAUUGGUUAGUCCAAACGACAUAACCAAGAACUCGUAGUGUCCAUAGCUAGUUUUGAAUGCAGUCUUCUCGAUAUCUUGCUCUCUUACUUUUAGCUGAUGAUAUCCUAACCUUAGAUCGAUCUUCGAGAAAUAGCUCGAACCUUGCAAUUGAUCAAACAGGUCAUCAAUCCUUGGCAACGGAUAUCUAUUCUUUAUUGUUAUCUUGUUCAGCUCUCUGUAAUCAAUGCACAUUCUCAUACUUCCAUCUUUCUUCUUCACGAAUAACACCGGAGCUCCCCAGGGUGAUGAACUAGGUCUAAUGAAACCUUUGUCCAACAACUCCUGAAGUUGCAUGAUCAGCUCCUUCAUCUCCGUCAGUGCUAAUCGAUAAGGUGCUUUUGCAAUUGGCGUUGUUCCUGGUAACAAGUCAAUUCUGAACUCCACUUGUCUAUCAGGUGGUAAUCCAGGAAGAUCUUCGGGAAAUACUUUCGGAUAAUCACACACCAUUGGAAUACAACAACAUCACCUUCUUUUCCUUCUUAGCAUCAAUCACGAAUGCUAAAUAUAAUGUACAUCCCUUGGUCAAACACUUUCUGGCUUUCAUUAGGGAAAUGAUUCCAGAAUUCACUCGGCGUUUGUCCCCAUAUACCAUAAACGAAUCUUUUCCAUAUGGGUUUACUUUAACUAUCUUCUUCUUGCAUAAAAUUUUGGCAUCAUUGGCGCUAAGCCAAUCCAUUCCCAACACGAUGUCGAAACCAUUAAGUUCGAUAGGUAAUAAUUCUUCGUGAAACUUAUUCCCAUUAAGGUCGAUUAAGAUGUUUUUCAUACGAUGGCUAACAGGUACAAACUUGCCACUAGCAACUUCGACUAAUAAAGCAUUAUCUAGUCUAUCAACAGGCAGAGCUAGUUUUCUACCAAAUUCAUGCGAUAUAAAGGAGUAGUUGGCUCCAGAAUCAAAUAAAAUUUGGGCAGGCAAAUUGUUAACGAGAAAGGUACCUGAAGCGACAUCAGCUUCAUCUUGAGCAGCUUCCAGUGUCAUCUGGAAUGCUCUCGCCUUUGGCUUUGGUGGAAUGUUGGGCUUAGCUGCCUCCUUCUUCUUCGGACAGUCUUUCAAAAUGUGCCCAUCUUCAUUACAACCAAAACACAUCCUUUUGUUGUUCGGACAUUCAUUGGCAAAAUGUCCAACCUUCCCACACUUGUAGCAGGUUACAUCCUCGCUACAUUUCCCAAAGUGCUUUUUCUUACACUUAUCACACCACUUCGCUUCGCCUCCUUUUCCUCCAAACUUUUUCGAAUCAGAUUUCGAAAAUUUGCUUUUUUUACCGGAACCAGAUGUUCCCUCAAACUUUCUUUUCUCACCAACCUCAACCUUGUCGGUGGUUCUUCCCUUUAUCAUGUUCUCAACAGACUUGGCAGCCCAGAUAGCUGCCUCUAGAGUAAGUGCCUGACGUACUGGCACCUCGUACUCCCAUGGAAGUCCCUUCGCAUACCGAUCCACCUUUGUCAGCUCGUCUGGAACGAUACGCAAGGCAAACUCCAUCUUAUCGGUGAAGUUAUUGGUGUAUUCAUCAACUGACAUGCUACCCUUCGUCAAUGUCAAAAACUUAUUCUCCAACUCCAACAGAUUUUGAGCCGAGCAGAACUUGCGCUUGAACUGCACCAAGAACUCUGCCCAUGACAAUUGCAGUGGCUCAUUAGGGCUUAAGGUCUUCCCUAGAGUGUUCCACCAACGAACGGCUCCACCUCGGAAUUGACGCACUACAUAGAUAGUCUGCAACUUGCCUCUGCAGCCACAAGUCAUGAAGGCUAAAUCCAUUUCAAAGAUCCAAUCCAUCACUCCUAUCGGAUCCUCCUUUCCAUUGAAGGUCGAUGGUUUUCAAGUUAGAAAGUCCUUGUACUUGCAUCCCAUUCCAUCAUUCCUUCCAUCAUGGUUGUCUCACCUAACUAUCGGCGGGUUGGCUUGACCAACUGAUCCACUGAAGUUUCCACCUUCCGAGUGCCCUUCAUUUAAUUCAGGCUCUUCCACACGAAUUGACAGUUCUUCACGAUUCUGUUGAAGCAACCGUCUAGUUUCAUCCAUCUGACGAUCCAACAUCGUUUGAAUCAUCAUUUGCACACCAGCCAUGGUUAUUGGCUCAGGUGCUGCUGCUACGACAGGUAUUUGCUCAAUCACUGGUGGUUGAUUCCUAUUUUCAUCAGCAUUUCCAACUCCACUUCUUGUUCUCACCAUUUUUGAUCUACACACCGAAUAAGGUGAAAUUAGAUCCUCAUUCACGAUAGAUAUUCAAAUCAUCCGUAUCACUCUGAAACGUUUAUAUGCUAGUUCUAAUAUCGUAGAUGUACACUUAGAAUCGUACACACAUAAAGUUUCUAGAUCCGGUCGGCAACAGACCAUAGAUCCGAACAAAUAAUAUCAUAUAUGGCAACAUAUAACAUUUAGCACAUAAAGCAUUUUAGGCAACUUUCCUAAAAUAGACUAGUACUCGUGUCUAAAAUAUAACAGACACACAUCUAAAAAUUUCACUUAGCAUUCUAAGUUUAAGUCUAGAAAUCCUACAAAUUCCUAGUUCGCUUAAACUAAUGCUCUGAUACCAACUGUGACAUCCCCAAAAUCUCGGCCAGAAAAGACCGAUUUUCAUUUAUGCUUUUAAAAUAAUUUCAGAGUAAAUCCUUUUGAUUUGAAAGAGUUGCGGAAUUUGUUCCCAAAAACAAAACAUGAUAAAACAAUGUUUACCAAAGCAUUUCAUAAAAGAAAUGUAUUUUCAUUAUAUAAUCAAAACUCGGGGUGUCAUGUUCCGAUACAGACCAAUAAGCAUAAACGAUAACAUUACAAGUCAUUCAACAAAUAUAUACAUAUACAGACUUGUAAACAAAACAACUUGAUGGUUCGUCCAUCUUACGCCCUUGCGCCACUUCCUGUAAUACAAAUAAAACUGAGUGGGUCAGGCUUGGGAGCCUGGUGAGCAUAUAGGGUUUUCAACCCACAAUAAAUAAUUAAAUUAAUUAUUAUCAACCAACAAUAACCCAAUUACCCAUUCCUGUUAUUCUCACUUUAUGUCCCUAAAAUAACUAACACAAGGGACCUAGUCUAAGAAUAUUUCAUCGGGGUGACAACACAUGCUUCGGGGGUUCCUUAGCAAUAUAAGUCAAAUAAGG
rnacentral:lncRNA from 1 species